CACCGCGGUUAUACGAGAGGUCCAAGCUGACAAACGCCGGCGUAAAGCGUGGUUAUGAACUUCAACUCACUAAAGCCAAAUGCCCUCAAAGCUGUUAUACGCUCCCGAGGGCCAGAGACCCACUAACGAAAGUAGCUUUAAUUUCCUGAAUCCACGAAAGCUAUGGAA
rnacentral:rRNA from 1 species